ACACGCUAGCAUUGGAGAAUUGAAAAUUGGCCGCUUAAAUGGCAUACCUGUUUCCUCUUAUGAAUGUCAGUCUGACGUUGACAUUACUAUUAAGUACUUCAACGAGACUGCUAAAGUGGAACAGACAAUUGCCGAGUGUAAAGCAUCAAUAAAUGGAUGUUAUCUACACGAUCAGUUACUCGGUGAAUACUAUAGUGUAUCUUACACUGGUAACGGCACAAUUUUUAAUGUCGUAAGAAAGGAUGAGAAAACAAGUGGGAUCUAUUUUUUCUGUGAAACACAUAAUGUUUCGGCAUGUCAAAGCGUUUAUAUAGGAAAUUUAAAUACAGAAGACAAAAACACAAUCAAUACACGAACCAAAGUUAAACCAUCAUCAAUAGAGGAUAGUGCAGGGGAGAUAUGUCACAACCUUAGGGUUGUUAUGUAUUUAACCAUAAGCGUUCUGGUCGUGCACAUCGGAAGUAGUGUAAUUUUAUUUUCAAGAAUUAGGAUAGAUAAAGUGGUGUCCCGACUUAUAGCAAUCUCUAAACAUAAGGU